rnacentral:rRNA from 1 species
GAUGAACGCUGGCGGUAUGCCCAACACAUGCAAGUCGAACGAGCUCUUCGGAGCUAGUGGCGGACGGGUGAGUAACGCGUGAGAAUCUGCCUUCAGGAUGGGGACAACAGUUGGAAACGAUUGCUAAAACCCAAUGUGCCGCAAGGUGAAAUAUUAAUAGCCUGAAGAGGAGCUCGCGUCCGAUUAGUUAGUUGGUGGGGUAAAGGCCUACCAAGGCAGCGAUCGGUAGCUGGUCUGAGAGGAUGAGCAGCCACACUGGGACUGGGACACGGCCCGGACUCCUACGGGAGGAAGCAGUGGGGAAUUUUCCGCAAUGGGCGAAAGCCUGACGGAGCAAUACCGCGUGAGGGAGGAAGGUUUUUGGAUUGUAAGCCUCUUUUGUUAAGGAAGAAGAAAGUGACGGUACUUAACGAAUAAGCAUCGGCUAACUCCGUGCCAGCAGCCGCCGUAA